ensembl:lncRNA
AUCAUGGGAGCCCUCCCUGCCUCAGGCAGGUAUCAUCCCCAUACUGCGGAUGAAGAAACUGAGGCCUCGAGACAUUAAGGCAUGUUUCUCAUCAGGUAAAUGGUGAUAACCAACCUCACAGAUGGUUGGGAAAAUGAGAUGAGAUAAUACACAGGAAGUGCAGCUCCUGACGAAGAAUGAGGAGUCCAUCCAUGGAAGCCACCAUCAUUCGUGUGUCGUGUGAAUUUCUGGUCCUAACCUGAAGGGAGAGGAGAGAGAAGACUGAGGAUUGGUGCUGAAAGACAUCCAAGACCUUGUUUUCUUCCUCCUCCUUCUCCCGAGAGAACCCUGGACUUACUUCAGGGGAAAACUACAUCACGCAAUGUUCUGUCUCCAUUGCUUUGCCAGAAAUUCCUCAUGACAGAUUCUGAUGCACCAGAUCGAGCCACCUCGCUGAGUGGCACCUAUUUGCAGAAGUCAUUAAAAGCCAUUGUUUAACUAAAGGCUUUUCUUCUUCCUUACAAUUUUCAAGACCCUGAAUUUGUACAGACCUGACUCAGCAACAUUGUAUUUUGGGAAUUUGCUACCUCUUCUCAGAUUCUGGACUGCGGUUCCCUAGUUUGCUGCUCUCGGCUCAGGAAUGGCUGUUACCUAGAUUUUGGCUCCAGAUCGGAAGUACUCUUGCCACAAAAAGACACAUCUUUGUACCAGGGCUCUGCCCCACCUGCUGGGUGCCUGGAUGACCCGGUUCCCCUUCCCUCUUGCCUCAUGGACAAAUUAACAUUUCCACAAUUGUAAAUUGUUGCCUUCCUAGGAAAGUAGCCAUUUGCCAGAGUGGUAAAGAUUUUGAAUAGAAUACACGCGCACACAGCCCUUUCUCUCUCUCUUUCUCUCUCUCCUUCUCUCCUUAAAUGGGAUCAUGACUGGAAAGCACCCAGCAUAGUGGCUGUCACAGAGGCCAGAACUCAAUAAAUAUUAUCGACGACUGCUAAUGCUAUAAUCAUCAUGUUCGAAAGGAAACUAUAGCCCUAGUCCCUUUGUGGUCAUGCUCGAGAAUCAGAAAGCUCUCUUGGCCUAGUGACCCAUUCUGGGUUUUUUGUACUCUAUCCUUCAUACACACACAGCACAUUAAGAGUCUGUUCAUUCUUGGGAUGUGUGCGAAAUUCCAAUUCCUGUCAGGAGAAUUUAUGUGUGGUUUUAGAGGGGAUAAUCGACCAGUUGGUAUGUGUGCACUGAUUUUAUACACAUACGCGUCGCCGUUUACAGCACACAUUAUAACAUCUUCAGUCUCUGCCAAGAAUGUGUAUUUCUUAGCUCCGUGCAUUUGCAUAUUAUGGGUUCAUAAUUUCAAAUAGCUGUAAAGAUCUCUACAGAAAAAUGUAGUCACUGUACUCUGAUGUUCUAAAUCUCAAUGUAGUAGUAGAACCUGGCUAAUUUUUGCCCCUGCUGAUGUGCUAGCCCUGUAAUUUUUACACACACACAUGCACUCACACUUCUGACUUUGCCCUACUUCGAAGCAAAGAUUUAAUAGCUAGGAGCUGAGUUAUGCUCCUCAGCCUUCAUUACCUUUCCAAAAUAUAUUGUACGCAUGGCACAAUGUACAUCAUGUUACAGAUGAUUAAAAUGAAAAGAUUUGUCAAAAUAAAGAACCUGCUG